AGAGUUUGAUCCUGGCUCAGAAUCACGCUGGCGGCGUGCCUAACCUUGCAAGUCGAACGCGAAAGGGGCUUCGGCCCUGAGUACAGUGGCGAACGGGUGAGUAACACGUGGGUGAUCUACCUCUGAGUGGGGGAUAACGUUCCGAAAGGAGCGCUAAUACCGCAUGACGUUCUGGGUUUGAAGACCUGGAAACCAAAGUCGGGGACCGCAAGGCCUGACGCUUGGAGAGGAGCCCGCGCCUGAUUAGCUAGUUGGCGGGGUAAUGGCCCACCAAGGCGACGAUCAGUAGCCGGCCUGAGAGGGCGGACGGCCACACUGGGACUGAGACACGGCCCAGACUCCUACGGGAGGCAGCAGUGGGGAAUUGUUCGCAAUGGGCGCAAGCCUGACGACGCAACGCCGCGUGGAGGAUGAAGGCCUUCGGGUCGUAAACUCCUGUUGAUCGGGAAGAAUGGGCUCCGGGUUAAUACGCCGGGGCAAUGACGGUACCGAUUGAGGAAGCCACGGCUAACUCUGUGCCAGCAGCCGCGGUAAUACAGAGGUGGCAAGCGUUGUUCGGAAUUACUGGGCGUAAGGGCACGUAGGCGGCCUUCUAAGUCAGACGUGAAAUCCCCAGGCUUAACUUGGGAACUGCGUCUGAUACUGGGAGGCUUGAGUGCGGGAGAGGGAUGUGGAAUUCCAGGUGUA
rnacentral:rRNA from 1 species